UACGAAGGGGGCUAGCGUUGUUCGGAAUUACUGGGCGUAAAGCGUGCGCAGGCGGCUGCUCAAGUCAGGGGUGAAAGCCCAGAGCUCAACUCUGGAACUGCCUUUGAGACUGAGUGGCUUGAGUACGGGAGAGGUGAGUGGAAUUCCCAGUGUAGAGGUGAAAUUCGUAGAUAUUCGGAAGAACACCAGUGGCGAAGGCGACACACUGGCCCGAUACUGACGCUGAGGCGCGAAAGCGUGGGGAGCAAACAGG
rnacentral:rRNA from 1 species